CACGCUCGGCCGAACUUUUCGCAACACGGUCUUCAGUAUUGGGCCUCGCCUUGGCCCUCAAGAACUCGUCAAGCUUCGGCCUGUUUUCGUGGAUCCAUCGUUGUCUGAGAUAUUGGGCCUUACCUUCUAACGGGUUAGCCCGGCCCUUUCCAACAAGGGGUUCUGAAAUCUUCAAUCGAGCGUAGAAGAAUUUGAAGCAGGAAUGAUCAGCGCGGUACUGAAGCUUGCCAGAGUCCAGACUACCAAAUACCGGAGCCAGGAGAAAACCGUUGUGAUCCAUUUUUGCUCGUUCACCAUUACCGUUGCUGUCGCCGGCGCUGAGAUUAGUCCAUGAUGGGACCACCGAGAAACCCGUUGCCCUUCAGAUGACCUACUAUUCUGUCUCUCACGAGAGGUUUAAAUAUUUUGAGCUUCAACUAGUUUUUCUGGCUUUCUUUCAAAUUUUGAUAUUUUAUUUUUCGAUCGGCGCAUGUAGACGAGUCGUAUGAUAUUGAAGCAGUGUCUCUCCACUUGGUGCGGUGACGUUCUAGACACUGACAGCCAAGGGAAUGGUUCUGCUUUCGCCCAUGGUUACCUUGUUAAUUAGCUGAAAGGUUUUUCUUUGUAUUCAAUUUCUAUGAUUCUCUGUUUUAAAUCUUAUCUAAAUUUUCUAUUUUAGUAUACCGAGAAACUAAUGUUAGUCUUCAUUAUCAUCAUAUCCAGUAGAAAUUUUUAUCA